GGGCGCCACCGGCGUUCGAAUUAUAGUCUGGAGAAGCGUCCUCAGCGGCGGACCGGGCCCAAGUCCCCUGGAAAAGGGCGCCAGAGAGGGUGAGAGCCCCGUCAUGCCCGGACCCUGUCGCACCACGAGGCACUGUCUACCAGUCAGGUUGUUUGGGAAUGCAGCCCUAAUCGGGCGGUAAAUUCCGUCCAAGGCUAAAUACGGGCGAGAGACCG
rnacentral:ncRNA from 1 species